AAACUUACCUGGCAGGAGAGACACCUGAUCACGAAGGUGGUUUUUCCAGGGUGAGGUUUAUCUAUUGCACUUUGGAUGUGCUGACCCCUGUGAUUUCCCCAAAUGUGGAAAACUCAACUGCAUAACUUGUGGUAGUGGGGGACUGUGUUAGCACUUUCCCCUG
rnacentral:snRNA from 1 species